CCUACGGGAGGCAGCAGUAGGGAAUUUUGCGCAAUGGGCGAAAGCCUGACGCAGCAACGCCGCGUGAUCGAGACGCCCUUCGGGGUGUAAAGAUCUGUCAGUGGGGACGAAACUUGACGGUACCCACAGAGGAAGCACCGGCUAACUCCGUGCCAGCAGCCGCAGUAAUACGGGGGGUGCAAGCGGUUAUCGGAAUCAUUGGGCGUAAAGAGGUCGUAGGCGGCACGUAAAGGCUGGUGGUAAAGGCAGAGGCUCAACUUCUGUACGGCACUGGAUACUGGCGAGCUAGACUGCGGUAGAGGUAAGGGGAAUGCCUGGUGUAGCGGUGAAAUGCUUAGAUAUCAGGAGGAACAUCGGUGGCGAAGGCACUUUACUGGGCCGUAAUUGACGCUGAGGAACGAAAGCCAGGGUAGCAAAUGGGAUUAGAUACCCGGGUAGUC
rnacentral:rRNA from 1 species